UGUUGCGUCAGCACUGUUGACGUAUGUUAAAGUUCAUGAAUUAUCAAAACAUGAUAAAUUUAUUAUUCAAUGAAAGCAUUUAUCCAUGACAUGUGCUUGUGACAUAAAAGCAUCUAUCAUUUAACUGAAGCAUUUAUCUGUGACAUAAGGUUAUGACAUAGAAGCAUGUAUCAUUUAACUGAAGCAUUUAUCUGUGACAUAAGGUUAUGACAUAGAAGCAUGUAUCAUUUAACUGAAGCAUUUAUCUGUGACAUAAGGUUAUGACAUAGAAGCAUGUAUCAUUUAACUGAAGCAUUUAUCUGUGACAUAAAGUUAUGACAUAGAAGCAUGUAUCAUUUAACUGAAGCAUUUAUCUGUGACAUAAGGUUAUGACAUAGAAGCAUGUAUCAUUUAACUGAAGCAUUUAUCUGUGACAUAAGGUUAUGACAUAGAAGCAUGUAUCAUUUAACUGAAGCAUUUAUCUGCGACAUAAGGUUAUGACAUAGAAGCAUGUAUCAUUUGACUGAAGCAUUUAUCUGUGACAUAAGGUUAUGACAUAGAAGCAUGUAUCAUUUAACUGAAGCAUUUAUCUGUGACAUAAGGUUAUGACAUAGAAGCAUGUAUAUCAUACUCCAGAGAUGUACGUAUGCAAAUCAAAUAUGCAAAUUAGAUAACCGGAUUGACAGACACUAUUUUCUCAGGAAAUGAAUAUUCCAAAAAUGAUUUGUAGAUUUUGGUUCACAUGGCAAUGGGAAUCAUGUGUCACUACUCAUAUGUAAGAUAUUGACAUAUUUCUGAUGUUAAUUUUGAUGCAUUUAUUUCAUAAAAAGAAAACAGUAAUAUGAAAAUGAUAAACAGAAUUCAUCACUUUGUUUUUUAAUGUAAAAAAAUAUUAACCUUGUCCCGUUAAUUGGCAUUAAAAAGUACUUAGGAUUAAUCCUCUGAUUAACAUGUUCAGCUCCUUAUAGAAUUUAGACAUUGGUUUAGAAAUAUAUUUUGUUUUCACGAGUCAGCAGUAUGGAUCUGUAAAAGUGUUGGUUGAUGGUAAAGUGGUCGUCCUCAAAGGAAUGGCUCAAGUAUUUCAUGAAUUUAACUAGUCUCAGACAUACGCUUGCAUUAUUUUUGAACCCUAGCAAUGCACACACACACACAAAAAAAAAUAUUGAAUAUCUUUGUGUUUUAUCUCGGUGAUAACCAAAUCCCUUUUAGAAACAUUUAUUUAGGAUUAUUUAUCUGAAGUACAUUUAAUCAAAUAAGUCUAGUAUUUUGAAUAACAUAAAAUAUUCAGAAAACAAUCCUUAAACUUAAACAGUGAUUUAGUGCAAGUACUACAUUGAUUACUCAAAAUAUCAGACAGUCUGAGUAAACUGGUCUCAUGGCUUGUUACCUGUCAAAACAUUGGGUCAGGUGUGAAAGGGCCAUUAAGUCCAUUGAGUUAUUAAACAGAUUAAUUGAGAUUUGGGGCCAUUUACACAAGUCUCCUGUCAUUUUAAUUCAUUGUUAGCCAUGAUUUCGAAAUGUAUAGGAUGGGCGCAGAAAAAUACAUAUAUUGUGUACAUAUACUGUCUACAAUAAUAUUCACUGUUCAAACUUCUUGACAAAAAACCCAUAAAGUUCAUGUACUAGUAAUUAAAGUAAUCAUUCAACCUUCCAGUACAGUCUGCCACAUCAUUUCGUGACUUUACAGGACCCUCAUAUGUCACAUAGUGACCCUUGAAAU